rnacentral:lncRNA from 1 species
GAUUAAUCGGAUAUUUGUUUUUUUUUUAUUACAGAAAGGAAACCUGGUGAAGGGGAUGAAGGAUGGUCAACGGUCAAAUACAAAUAACUCUGGACAACUAUAACAUACUGGACAGUGGAAUUUAUUACAAUCUUUUUAUUGACCAACUCAUAUUUAUUGAACACUUCUUAUUGGACAACUUUACCAUAAUGAAUGACUAAUCUUAUUCAACAACUGUCAGAUAUUGAUCAUGUAAUAAUAUUAAACCACUAAUAACUUCUUCUUGGACAACUUUACCAAAAUGAAUGAUUCUUCUUAUAAGACAACUGUCAGAUACUGAGCAUGUUAAAUUAAACAACUGUGAAAUACUGAAAUCUUCUUAUUGGUCAAUCUGAUGCUGAUUACUUCUUCUUUAAUAUACUAUAAGUUGAUUUUGAAUACAAUUUAACAUAGACUUACUUCCACUAUUUUUACAAAGCAAACAACUUAAUAUUGAACAGCUGUGCUAUACAGAACAUUUGAUACAAACAUUGUACAGUACUACACACUUACAAAAAAAUCAGUUAUUUAUUGUCAUUUUAAGCUGUAGCAUACAUGUAUGUGUGUCUUGUUGUAUUUCAUUUUUAUUGCCGUUUUUGAAAUUAUUGUUUGGAGAGUAGAUGGGCAUUCAUUCUUUAAAAUGAAUUAUUGGUGCAUUGUACAUUGCUAUAUUUCCCAUUAAAUCUUAUAAAAAUAUUUAGAAUUCUGAAAACAAAACAAAAUAUAUUGUGGGUUUGGAAUUUAAGUGCCCUCCUAAAUAUAUAUACACAUUGAAUAAUGGUAAUCUACAUUUAUAUUUUCUAGAUUAUUCAACAACUAGAUGCAUGUAUAUGAUAAAUUUGUAGGAACAGUUAUUAUAAUUUAUUAAUGUUGUUAAUGGUUUUCUUUGUCAUUUGAAAUGUAUGGCUAUUACAAAAUUUAUGUAAUUGAAGUGCUAAUUGUUAAAUAAUUAUGACAUUGAUUGUAAAAUAAAUUUUAAUUGCACAAUUUGUAUCAGUUGUCCUCCGGCAUGUCUAUUCUACUGGAAAUUAUACCCCAACAGUAAUAGGGAAACUGAUAAAAUUGAGAAUGAAAAUGAGGAAUAUGUCAAAGAGACAACAACCCGACAAAAGAGCAGAAAACAGCCAAAGGCCACCAAUAGGUUUUCCACAUAAUGGGUAAAAUCCUGCACCCUGAGGCUGGCCUUCAAAUAAAAAUGGGCACAAAAAUGUUGCAAGGUUAAACAUGGUUGGUGAAAUCUCCCUCUAUACCUCUAGCCUAUGUAGAAUCAACAAACACGCACAAUAUGCACAGUAAAACUCAGUUUUAAAGAAGUCCGAGUCUGAUGUCAUAACAGGCAACAAAAGAAACUAAGCAAAAUGUCAUUGAUAAAUAAAUUAACAAAGGACUAAACAGACAUGAUUUCCUGCUAUUUCAAAGUUCUUUAAGCUUUGCACAUUUUUUAGUCUCCUACUGACAAAAUCUUAAGGUUUGCACUCCGUCUGUCUGUGAGUCCAGCAAGUCAGUUUUCCACACUUUAUUAGUCCCCUACUGACAAAGUUUUGAUUUGAUAUUUUUAUCAUGACAAGUAAAAAGUUCGAUUUUCAUGAUUUUAGCUC